rnacentral:rRNA from 1 species
GUAGUCAUAUGCUUGUCUCAAAGAUUAAGCCAUGCAUGUCUAAGUAUAAGCAAUUAUACAGCGAAACUGCGAAUGGCUCAUUAUAUAAGUUAGCGUUUAUUUGAUAGUACCUUACUACUUAGAUAACCGUGGUAAUUCUAGAGCUAAUACAUGCUAAAAAUCCCGACUUCGGAAGGGAUGUAUUUAUUAGAUUAAAAACCAAUGCCCUCCGGGGCUCACUGGUGAUUCAUGAUAACUUCUCGAAUCGCAUGGCCUUGCGCCGGCGAUGGUUCAUUCAAAUUUCUUCCCUAUCAACUUUCGAUGUUUGGGUAUUGGCCAAACAUGGUUGCAACGGGUAACGGGGAAUG